rnacentral:rRNA from 1 species
UAAGGCCGAUGGCGACCGGCGCACGGGUGAGUAACACGUAUCCAACCUGCCGAUAACUCGGGGAUAGCCUUUCGAAAGAAAGAUUAAUACCCGAUGGCAUAGUUCUUCCGCAUGGUGGAACUAUUAAAGAAUUUCGGUCAUCGAUGGGGAUGCGUUCCAUUAGGUUGUUGGCGGGGUAACGGCCCACCAAGACUACGAUGGAUAGGGGUUCUGAGAGGAAGGUCCCCCACAUUGGAACUGAGACACGGUCCAAACUCCUACGGGAGGCAGCAUG